rfam:Chaetomium globosum CBS 148.51 scaffold_9 mitochondrial scaffold, whole genome shotgun sequence.
GUCAAAGUAGCUCAAUUGGUAGAGCGAAGCAUUGAAGCUGCUUAGGUUGUCAGUUCAAGUCUGGCCUUUGACA